rnacentral:rRNA from 1 species
UACGUAGGGUGCGAGCGUUACUCGGAAUUACUGGGCGUAAAGCGUGCGCAGGCGGUUCGUUGUGUCUGCUGUGAAAUCCCCGGGCUCAACCUGGGAAUGGCAGUGGAAACUGGCGAGCUUGAGUGUGGCAGAGGGGGGUGGAAUUCCGCGUGUAGCAGUGAAAUGCGUAGAGAUGCGGAGGAACACCGAUGGCGAAGGCAACCCCCUGGGCUGACACUGACGCUCAGGCACGAAAGCGUGGGGAGCAAACAGG